CUUAAAGAAUAGAAAAAUAUCCUGUAUUUGUCAACAGCAAUUCAACUAGUAGGUGUUGAUACUUUGGGUCUGAGUAA